GCGUUGGUAGUUUAGUGGUAGAAUCCAUCACAUUGAACUAAGGUUGCUGAUGGGAGCUGGGUUCGAUUCCCAGCCAAUGCA